GCCUGCUGUUGUCCAGGAGCGCACGUGCGCGGCGGGGGGGCUGCGAGGGGUACGCAGCUCGCUUUCCCCUGGCCGCGAAGGCCAGCGGGGCGCUGGAAGGGGGCCGGGGUGCAACCCCGGGGGGUUCGGGCAAGGUCGACUGCCUUGGCUUCUGCAUUGUGCUGCGGUGAAAAAAUAAAAAACCUGCCGCAGCAGCAGUUACGCCGGGAAGAGACAUCUUCGGAGACCACAGCAGUGGCUCCUCUGCACUCCCAGCUGACCCCUGGAUACUGUCACCGCGCGGCGGAGAGGGGGUGUUGCCGCAAGUCAGGAAGCUCCUGGUCUCUCCAUCACUUGCGCAAUUCGGGCUAAAAUCUUCUCGCAUCGGUUAUUAUUUGGAAUCUGGGCCUAAAAGUUUUUUCGGUUGUCUUCUUCAUUCAGAGUUAUGGACCUGAAGAUUGGAAGUGACCUGGCAAGGGAGAAGAAGGACAAGCAAGAGUGAAAGAGUAGCAAACCCUGAAGUGGUUCCAAGGGUUUACCUCGUGACCACAGAGACCCAUCUCUGCCAGAGAGGAACAAGCAUGCAGAGAAGAAUUCAAUAGCCUGGGUUGUUCCUGGGAUUGGUGAGCUUUAAAAUCUCCUGUGAUGUCAAGAAGAGGAAAGCCUUCACAUCCCAGGUUUGGCCAUCACAUCCCCGAAUUCAGCUGCAUUGGCUGAAUGUUAAAUGGUUUAUGCCCAGCUAGUGGGAAGGUGAAUAAUACGUAAAGGAGCUGGGAUCUACACAUACGUUGGAUGACACAGACAUUGUACUUCAGAGUCUCGAAGCAUUUUGACUCUAAAUCUUCACACCCGCCAUACCCAUCUACAUAUCUGCUUUUGAAUAGUCGGCCAGAUAGUAGCUCCUUUGCGGGUGUCCUAGUAGGGUGCCUCUCCACUUGCAGAAUUCUAGAUGUCAACUGCCCCGGGCUGUGACCUUGGGCCAUUCCUAUUCCUUUUCUACACUCCCUCCCAGGGCAGCCUCCUCCAGCCCUAGGCUUUAAAUAGCCUCCAUUCACUGAUGUAUAUCUUUAACCCUGACCUCUCACCAGUACUCCAGGCUCGUAUAUCCAGCUGCCUCC
rnacentral:lncRNA from 1 species